CCUACGGGAGGCUGCAGUGGGGAAUAUUGGACAAUGGGGGGAACCCUGAUCCAGCCAUGCCGCGUGUGUGAAGAAGGCCCUCGGGUUGUAAAGCACUUUCAGUGAGGAAGAACACCUGGUGGUUAAUACCCAUCAGGAAAGACAUCACUCACAGAAGAAGCACCGGCUAACUCCGUGCCAGCAGCCGCGGUAAUACGGAGGGUGCGAGCGUUAAUCGGAAUUACUGGGCGUAAAGCGCGCGUAGGUGGCUUGAUAAGCCGGUUGUGAAAGCCCCGGGCUCAACCUGGGAACGGCAUCCGGAACUGUCAAGCUAGAGUGCAGGAGAGGAAGGUAGAAUUCCCGGUGUAGCGGUGAAAUGCGUAGAGAUCGGGAGGAAUACCAGUGGCGAAGGCGGCCUUCUGGACUGACACUGACACUGAGGUGCGAAAGCGUGGGUAGCAAACAGGAUUAGAUACCCUUGUAGUC
rnacentral:rRNA from 1 species